UUAUCUGGGUGUCCUGGAGUUGCCGCGUGGCCGCACUGCGUAGCCUACAGUGCGUUUCUUGAAGUUGGAAUCAUG